rnacentral:rRNA from 1 species
UACGGGGGGGGCAAGCGUUGUUCGGAAUUACUGGGCGUAAAGGGUUCGUAGGUGGCCAACUAAGUCAGACGUGAAAUCCCUCGGCUCAACCGGGGAACUGCGUCUGAUACUGGUUGGCUUGAGUGCAGGAGAGGAACGCGGAAUUCCAGGUGUAGCGGUGAAAUGCGUAGAUAUCUGGAGGAACACCGGUGGCGAAGGCGGCAUCCUGGACCGGUAUUGACGCUGAGGCGCGAAAGCUAGGGGAGCAAACGGG